rnacentral:rRNA from 1 species
UACGGAGGAUCCAAGCGUUAUCCGGAUUUAUUGGGUUUAAAGGGUGCGUAGGUGGCUUUUUAAGUCGGGGGUGAAAGACGGUAGCUUAACUAUCGCAGUGCCCUUGAUACUGAUGGGCUUGAAUGAACUAGAGGUAGGCGGAAUGUGACAAGUAGCGGUGAAAUGCAUAGAUAUGUCACAGAACACCAAUUGCGAAGGCAGCUUACUAUGGUUUUAUUGACACUGAGGCACGAAAGCGUGGGGAUCAAACAGG